rfam:Schistosoma rodhaini strain Burundi genome assembly, scaffold: SROB_contig0006423
AUCCAGCUGAUGAGUCCCAAAUAGGAUGAAACGCUCGUCCUGGAU